GAGAUAGCUGGUACUCCCCUAAAGCUAGUUAGGUAGCGCCUCGUGACCUCAUCUUCGGGGGUAGAGCACGGUUUCGGCAAGGGGGUCAUCCCGACUUACCAACCCGAUGCAAACUGCUAAUACCGGAG
rnacentral:rRNA from 1 species